rnacentral:lncRNA from 1 species
GGCGGGCGCCGCAGCUCCGCGUCCCCCGCGCCUCCUCCCAGCGCAGGUGGGUCCGCCCGCGGGGGGCGGGGGUGCCCGGGAGCCGUGGGACGGGCGGGUAGCGGCAACCUUUGGGGAGCAGAGUGGUCCCCAACGCCCAGGUGCCCCGGCUCGCGCUCUGGCCCGGGCGAAUCGGGCUAUAGGAAGGGCCACACGGAUGGAAGUCCUAGUCCGGGUGCUCACCUCUUGUGGAACGUGCAAAGCCUGUCCCAGGACCUCUUUACACUCUGGGGGUCUCUGCCCAGGCACGCUUGCUGCUUCCGGACACAGCUGUGGGCGGAGCUAGUAGGGGCGGGGCUACGUGAUUGACACUUCUCUCCUCAGACUUCAAGGGCUACCACUGGACCCUUCCCCUGUCUUGAACCCUGAGCCGGCACCAUGGUGAGAACCCUGAGCCCAGCCCUUCACCUCCGCAGGCCCGCGCCCUCACCCCCAGUGGCAGUGCCAUGGUUGCCCCGUAUGAACCUAGGGCUCCACAGUGUGGGGUUUUUGCAGGUCAGCUUCUGCAAGGCAACCUGCACUCUUCCAACCCGUUCAUCCUUGUAGCACGGACGCCUGAAGGUGAAGACGUCAGAAGAGCAGGCGGAGGCCAAAAGGCUAGAGCGAGAGCAGAAGCUGAAGCUAUACCAGUCAGCCACCCAGGCCGUAUUCCAGAAGCGCCAGGCUGGUGAGCUGGAUGAGUCCGUGCUGGAACUGACAAGCCAGAUUCUGGGAGCCAACCCUGAUUUUGCCACCCUCUGGAACUGCCGACGAGAGGUGCUCCAGCAGCUGGAGACUCAGAAGUCUCCUGAAGAGUUGGCUGCUCUGGUGAAGGCAGAACUGGGCUUCCUGGAGAGCUGCCUGCGGGUGAACCCCAAGUCUUAUGGUACCUGGCACCACCGAUGCUGGCUGCUAGGC